rnacentral:rRNA from 1 species
AUACGGAGGGCGCAAGCGUUGCUCGGAAUCACUGGGCGUAAAGCGGGUGUAGGCGGUCUAGCAAGUCAGAUGUGAAAGCCCACGGCUCAACCGUGGAAGUGCAUCUGAAACUGCUAGACUUGAGUGCCGGAGAGGGAAGUGGAAUUCCUGGUGUAGGGGUGAAAUCCGUAGAUAUCAGGAGGAACACCGGUGGCGAAGGCGACUUCCUGGACGGCCACUGACGCUGAGACCCGAAAGCGUGGGGAGCAAACAGGAUUAGAAACCCUAGUAGUCC